UACAACUUCAAAACAGUUGUACAUUGAAAGAAAAUUAGAUUAUUCGUUUCAAAGCAUUUUUAUCUCUUAACUAUGAGUUGUAAUGUUACUUAAAGUAAGUUUAUCUCUGAUUGCGUUUUAAUCUAAUUGCCUGAACUGACUCGAGAUGCACUGUUUAACACUUAAGACUGUGUGAACGAAACUGAAAACUCCAUGGCUUUCUGUAACCUGGUUAAAGUAAUUGCUGUAUCGUUAAAAUGCUGCGUAUGUUUCAUGGUUCUUUGAAAUUAAUUCUUUGAUAAGCAUUCUUCUAUUGUGUUCUCAGUUUAACGUAGUUUAUUUACAGUUUAUUCUAAUAUUCUGAGUCAACAGACAGCGGUCAGCUUAACUUUUAAUAUUCCUGGAUAUCAAAAACUUACCCGCUCGAUUCAGUUCCGCAAAUGAAUCAGUGACAAACUUCGUGGAUGAAUUAGUGACAAUACUCGUUGAUGACUCAGAGUUUGGGAAGAAUUCGUUUCAAAGUCGCAGUCCGACGGUCCGACGAGGGCUUUCGCAUUCUCAGGAUCCGACAGUCUAGGGAUCAUUUUGCAAUUUUGAGAUCAGCGCAAUCUAGAGAUCUCGCGACGCGAUCUGCAGAUCUCACAAUUUAGUGAUCUUGCAACUGAGAGAUGGGCAACUUUAUGUUGUACAUUCAGAGAUAACCGUGGGGGCUUUUCAUACCUGAAACUGGGGUAGCCCUCGUACUUUACAUGCCUUUGCAACUUAAACGUAGCUUCGUUUCAUUGCAGACACUUCACUAUGGUAACAGCAGCCAAUAUACACGCCACAAGAUCUUGUAAAUUAGGGCCUCAAAUCUUAAGAUAACGACUAAAACUAUCAAGAUAUUUUUCAUGUCAUUGUUUUAAUUAGGUUUUAAUAAUGGCUUACCAUUUUUUACUUUCAGAAAAAUAUGUUCAGAUGAAUGCACAAAGUGGACGCCAAAAGAACAUUGGGAUGUUUAUUUAAAAAGAAUUUGAUGUAUUUGUACCGAUUGAUUCAGAAUAUCCAUGAAAACACAGACCUUGAAUGGAAUCCCUACGCAAACUGGAGCAUUCUAAAUAUGGAGAAUAAAAAUGACUUUCAUUAAGUACAAAUGUGUGAUUGUGAAUAGGACUAUAUCAAAUAAUGAAUGCUACGUACACAUAUGCAAUGAUGUUUUCUGUGUAACUUUUAUGAUGAAUUCUGUGUUCAAGUUAUAACUUAUUUGUAUGUUUAAGCUAUGUUAAUCUAUCAUAUGAUUUAAUUUCUGAAACCUAAACAAGUAGGGAUUCCUGUUUAUUUGAUUUUAUUGAUGUAUGCAAGGGAACGAACAAUUAAAGAAACAUCUCCUGUCUCCUUGAUUGGCGUGCCCUGUUAUAUUGACACAUUAUUCAAUUCCCCAAUAUACAACAUAAUAGCUAGUCCAUAUUAGUUGGAUGUUUUAGACUUCUAUAAUUUUACUGUUUAUUUAGUUCAUUCAGACAUUUCAACCUUUUUUUAUUGUUUUUUUUUUUCGUGAAGAAAUGAAGGAAUUUGUAAUGUAAUACCUAGGUUUAUAAUUUUCUAUUUUGGUAUUUCUUUCGGAUAAUUAAGAUUUUAACUGUACAUUUCAAAAGUAAGACAAAACUUGUCAACUUUACAGUAGCUUCAGGGUGUAAAACAUCCGUGAAUUAAUUUCUAAGUUUACGGAAGUGAAAUAAUGUGUCUGCUGUGUUUUCCUGUAUAAUCCUUUAUAAACUCAAUAUACUCUGUGAUCAGGAGAGAGGCUUCCCAAGUGGCGGGCUAAGAGGCUUGUUCCCGCUCUCAUGAGCUGAAAUUUAAUAAGUAUUGUUAAGAGCUAGGCUGAAGUACAUGUAUAAUUAAGAACUUAUAUUUAUAGAGUUGUUAACAGAACUGAUUUAGAAAGCUUAUUGAACAUUUAUUAUAUCUGUGAAAUUAGUUGGAACAUUUAUAAGUAACUGUGCAUUGCUGUCGUAGUAAAAUAAAUGUUAGAACUUUCGUAAUUUGUUGUGUUUCAAGUAAGCUUCAGGUACAACGUGCUACGUUACAGUCGUGCAUUUAUUUUCUACGGUUCAGAUAUUGUCCAUUUAAAGAUUCGUGUUAUCUGAUAUUGCUGCCAGUCUAUAAUUUCUACUUCUAUAUUUUUUUCACGAUUGAUGUAAAAUUUAGUCAAAAUAUUUGUUUAAGUUUUACUAGUUUUAUGUAAAGUUAGUUUUAUUAUAUUAGUACAUUGCUUCAAUGUGUCAAUAUAACCCGCCCGCUUAGCUCAGUAGGUAAGAGCGUUGGUCUACGGAUCGCGGGCUUGUGAGUUCGAUCCUCGGGCGGGGCGUAUAUGUAGUGUUAUGCAUGCAACUGUGCUGCAUCUGCACGGUUUUUAUGUUACAUUUUUGUUUCAAUAUGUAAUAUUAAAUAGACUUAUUUCAUUAUUUACAAGAUAAAUAUUGGCAUUCCCUGUAAAUCGUAAAUGUGUCUGGAUUUUAGCGGGAUUUGACGAUGACAUUUAACAACGUUUCGCCAGUUCCGGAUUAAUAUUACAAUUGUUGUUGAACUGAAAGAACGCCAUGGUGUAGAAAUUUACUCGAAAUUUGUCAUUUUGAUAAAGGCCAUAAGGCUGAAACGUUAAUAAAACAGAGUCUUUAAAAUUGAUCGUUAAGCAAAAUAGAAUCAAAGAAGUACAUGACGAGUGAUUAGUUAUGUAGAAUAUCACAUGAGGUUGAUUGCAUGAUGUGAAGUUUCUCGAUGUUGGCCUACAUAUGUGUCCCCGAUUAAUGAAACUAUUUGAUUUCAUUUAAGCAAAAUAGAAUCAAAGCAUCACAAGGAGGCGUCUGCGUCUUUGUGUAGAAAAAGAUCUGAGGAGAUGCACAUGACUACUUAUUGGAGUCAAGCCAUGGUCACGUGACUGAUACACGUGAUGGAAACGCUAAUAUUGUAUAGAAUGCUUGAACUGUGAUAAAAUAAACGGAUUUGAAAAAAGAUUUAUUGAAAUUUACGGAAAAGUUCCAGCGGAAGAAGGCAGAUAAAGACUUAAGAUUCUGAAGGCUGAAAAGAUGUUGAUGAUACGGACAAUGAAUCAUAUUCUCAAAUUUCUUAAAAAUUUUCAGAGACACAUUUUUCUACUUAGCUUAUCUAAUACAGUCAAACCUGUGUGUAAAGUAACACCUCUGGGAAAACUGAAGAAGAGCUGUUUGUCGACAGAUGGUCUCUCUACAAAGGAUACUUUACACUAUUAAUGGAUGAACGAGUGAAUAUACAGACCUUUAUUAGCUGGUUUUCAGGUUGUGACCUUUAUUCGGAGGUGUUAUGUAGUACAGGUUUGACUGUAUACUGUUUCUCCGUGCUAAGUAUUCAUAACAAACACCAUUUUUCUGAAUUAAAUCCUCUCUAAAUUUGUUAAAAAUGAACUUUUGUGCACACUUAUGAACGGAUGGUAAUUUUGUGAACGUAUUGCUAUUCCACUAAGUAUCAAGAUGCUUCUGAAAGUAUGAAAUUUACAUUGGUUUUGACAAAUGUAUAUAACUGGUUUUAAGAUAUCUAUUAAGUUAUUUCUCAGUGUUAUUUCAAACUAUGUGUAAAUAAUAUAUCCAAUGUUACAUGCAAAAUAUGCAUGAUUCGUUAAGACCAAAAACAAUGAUUUCCAUAGAACCGCUUGUAUAGAAAACUUUCUUAUAGGUAACGUCAAUUUUGAAAAAAAAAACAAUGCAUGUGAAUAAAUUCUUUCUGCUGCUUUCGAA
rnacentral:lncRNA from 1 species